UGAGCUCUGCUCUCUGUGACAGCAACAGGGCCCAAGGGAACGGCAUGGAGCUGUCAGGGGAGGGGCAGCUGGGUGUUAGGGAAAGGGGCUGGACCAGAGAGUGGUUUCUGUGUGUUCACUGAUCACUUGGCACGUGGUACAGGAGGCUUUACAGAAGUUUAAUUAGAAGGUAAAUGAGAGAAGGGAAAAGUAAAAACUUCCUGAUUCUGACAUCAGCUGUCCCAAGAAGACUGAAGUAUUACAUCUGAACAAUGUGAUCUUCUGCCCUUUAGAGGCUUGAGUAGCUGAAAAAUAAAUGCACCAUGGUUUGAAAUGCAAAUCUAGACUCCCACACAGCUUUCACUGGCCUCACUGGAUUGAGAUAUGGGGCUUAAGCUUUUCCAGGGAAAAAUAGACAACUUUUGCUGUCCAGGUUAUAGGGUAUAAAGUACUGGCUACAGAGGCAGUAUCAUAAAAGUCUAUAGUUAAAUCUCCUGGGGACAAUCUAUAAGGUUUCUUAAAAAGAACAAGGAUUUUCACUUCAUCUUUCCUUGUAAUUUUUUUUCUCCUGCUGCUUAUCUCUGCUCCUGUAUUCUGUCUAUGCCACUUAGCUUAGGAAGGAAGGACAUCUGUCAAGUUUAUAAACAGACACAGAUAAUUCUGAAGUUUUUUCAACAUCUCCUAAUACUUUAUCCCCUCGUGCACACAACAUUCUUGGCUGCAGGCCAGGAAAAUCCAGAGUGUUUCCAGGGAGAUUUGAGCUCUGCAGAAUGUCAUAUAUUAGAGUAGGCUUGGGGGAAAAAAAAAGAAAGAAAAAAAAAUCAGUAUUUUUAUGUAACAUUUUAGGUGCAGGAACAGGCAAAUUGCCAUAAUAACACAUUCUGUGUCUCUGAAGGGAGACAAGUAAAAUAUUCAUUUGGCUUUUAAUGAGCUUCCUAUCCUUCGUCAUCAGCCUUCCAGUCAAGGAAAUCUGAUGCUGGUUCUAAGCUGUUCACCUCUGCUGCUGCUCAGAGAGAAGAGCAGGCUGCACUGGGUGCAGCUAGGGCUGUCUUGAGGCUAUCAUCCCUGAGCAGACAGCCUCGUCGCUUCAUUGCUUUGGAGAUACAGACCCAUGAUACUGUGUUGUGUUACAAAGGAGAAAAGAGGAAACCUGAGUAGGGCUGAACUGAGAAAGGAAGCUGCUUCUUGUUACUAAGAUUGGUUACUUGAGAUGAUAGAAAGAAUCUCACUUACUUUAGGAAGCCAACUACAUAGGUGGAAAUUAGGACGUGAAUUUUUGCUUCUCUGGGAGACUGUUAUAAACAGACAUCUUGGUAUCAUGAAGUUGGACUUCUGCAUUUCACUUAGACUGAUGCCUGAAAAUUAAAAAUCUUUUCUCAGUUUGUAUUCCUGUUCUUCUCCUUUUUUCUUCCCGUUAUUCCAAGUCUAUGGUAAAAAAUCUGUUUAGGCAGUCAAGAUGUGACUUGUGCAAUUGAAUCUCUGAAUAUGGAAACAUUUCACAAUUGUCUUUAUGGUUAACAGUUAAAGGAAUAACUAAUUCCACAUUAAAAAAAAAAAAAAAAAA